UUAAGCAUAUCAAUAAGCGGAGGAAAAGAAACCAACAGGGAUUGCCCUAGUAACGGCGAGUGAAGCGGCAACAGCUCAAAUUUGAAAUCUGGCUCUUUCAGAGUCCGAGUUGUAAUUUGCAGAGGGCGCUUUGGCGUUGGCAGCGGUCCAAGUUCCUUGGAACAGGACGUCACAGAGGGUGAGAAUCCCGUACGUGGUCGCUGGCCUUCGCCGUGUAAAGCCCCUUCGACGAGUCGAGUUGUUUGGGAAUGCAGCUCUAAAUGGGAGGUAAAUUUCUUCUAAAGCUAAAUACUGGCCAGAGACCGAUAGCGCACAAGUAGAGUGAUCGAAAGAUGAAAAGCACUUUGGAAAGAGAGUCAAAUAGCACGUGAAAUUGUUGAAAGGGAAGCGCUUGCAGCCAGACUUGCCUGUAGUUGCUCAUCCGGGCUUUUGCCCGGUGCACUCUUCUGCGGGCAGGCCAGCAUCAGUUUGGGCGGUUGGAUAAAGGUCUCUGUCAUGUACCUCUCUUCGGGGAGGCCUUAUAGGGGAGACGUCAUACAACCAGCCUGGACUGAGGUCCGCGCAUUUUGCUAGGAUGCUGGCGUAAUGGCUGUAAGCGGCCCGUCUUGAAACACGGACCAAGGAGUCUAACAUCUAUGCGAGUGUUUGGGUGUCAAGCCCGAACGCGUAAUGAAAGUGAACGGAGGUGGGACCCCAUUAGGGUGCACCAUCGACCGAUCCUGAUGUCUUCGGAUGGAUUUGAGUAAGAGCAUGGCUGUUGGGACCCGAAAGAUGGUGAACUAUGCUUGAAUAGGGUGAAGCCAGAGGAAACUCUGGUGGAGGCUCGCAGCGGUUCUGACGUGCAAAUCGAUCGUCAAAUUUGGGCAUA
rnacentral:rRNA from 1 species